rnacentral:sRNA from 1 species
AGACCAUUUAUUAGUGCAACAUCGAUCGAUUGAACUAUAGAGAAUGUGACAUUUCCAACGACCAAACUCAUAAAAAAAAAAAAAAAAUUCACAAAUGCAAAUAAGAUCUUAACUAAAAUUCAUAAAUAGAUAAUAAAAUAAUUAAGUCGAGAAAAAGUUGCAGUGCGUAAAUUUUAUUCACGGUCAUACUCUCAAAUUUUAUUUAUUUUCUGAUUAUAACUCUUUGUUUCUUCGGUCGGGGUUUCCGUCGAUUUGGAUGAUGAUGAGGAUUUAAAGACUCAUAGUUCUUCAACUGUAAUAUGUUGUAUUAGUGGAGAAAAGAAGCUUUAGUCUCACACCGACGAUAAGAGUUCUACCGGCAGUGUAGUAAUACAUAGUAGAAGACGGAGAUCUAAGAUGAAAAUAACAGAGACAAGAAUUUGAUCAAGGGACCGAAGAUUCAUAAGAUUUCAUGGAAUCUUUGUCGAUAGGGGAGGUAGACUCCGGUUCGGCGAGCUGAGCCACCAUCGAAGGUCUAUUUUUUACUCCUUAGUAUUUCUCUCUCUCACGAUCGAACAAGUAUCUCCUCGACAAUGACAAUAUCAUAUAUCUUCUUCCUUCUCAAAACGGCUAUAUAGUGGUGGGAUGACAGCGGAUCUUGGAAAAUCAUCAUCAUUCAGCUCACGUCGCCCAGGUUCAUUGGAUGUCCUGUUCCGACGAGAAUCUGCUCACAUUGGACGGCGUCUUCAAUUGUGUUCUAUGAUCAGAUAUUAGAAUUUCAAUAUGUAACCGGUUUAGUUCAGUUUUGUCAUGGACAUAUAUCUGGAAAUAUUCUAUUGCACAUUUAUUUAUAAAAAUUGAAAAUUUUUAACAAAAAAAAAAACUAAAAUUCAUAAAUGCAUGCA